UUUAUUUAAAUAAAAGGUAUUUAGGGAUUAUCCCAUUGACCAUUUUUGUAUUUUGGGAUUAUUCCGUGAAUCAUUUCCACCAAACUCAAUAUUAUUGCCAAAAAGUAGCUUCUGCGCCAAUAACUGCAAAUUUGAUUAUAUUUAUUAUGUAAUCCUUGACUAUGCAAAUUAGUUUUCUUUAGCGUAUUUAAACGAAUUUAUGUGUCUAUGACUGCACAAGGAUAAUGACUUGUUUGUUUGCGCUUUAAAAGCUAUCAAGGAUUUUUGGCUGCGAAAAUGAUUUAUAAUUAGGGCCCUAUAAAUUAUGCGGAAGAUGCGGAAACCCGCAUAAUUCACAAUUAUCCGCAUAAUUUACAAUUUUCCGCGUAAUCGCAGCAAAAUGUAUUCGUAUACCAGAUAAAUUUCUCCUUAAGGGUUUUUUUUUCAAUUGAAAUAUAUCUUCUUUUUCAAUUCCAAGAAUCUUUUUGGUCAGGUGUACGUUUGCAAAGACUUUCAGUUCAUUGCAGAACACGCUCAGAUAUUAAUGGAUACUCUUCUCUUUUUCGAAACAUGUGGUGUAUCUAUUCACAAAGCUUACAAUAAGAUUUUUGAUCUGCGGUCUAAACUUCGAUGUAAUUCUCAGGCAUCAUACUCACGAAAAGAUUCACGCAACGUAUUUCUUCAAGAAGUGUUUCACAAAACAAUUGCAAAGUUGAAUACUUACUACUCUCCAGAACUAGACGUAUU